CUACCUUAACCGUCACAGUAAUGUAAAAACAGAUCUGGAGUCUUCUCUAUUAGUAUAGCUGAUUAACAAUGUGAAUGGAUGAUAACCGCGUUCUGAGUGACAUUUACUGCGCAGAAGGCCCAUUUCUAUCAGCUGAUAACCACUGAUAAAGCUGAUUAAAGCAGCUGACAGGACAUGGUCAAACGACAUUAUUGGACCACACUAACCAGCCAAAUGUGGGUCCCAAAUGUGACAUGGCACUAGACUUUUAGGUAUUUUAGAGAUGUGUAAUAAAUGAAUGUAUGAUGUGGUUUUAUGUGUCUUUGGCAGCGAGAAGAGGCUGAAUCCAAAGCCUAAGAGGAAGCAGAGAAACAGAGGAUCAAACAAGAGAAACACUUCCAGAAGGAGGAGCUGGAACGCUUGGAAAGAAAGAAGCGUCUGGAAGAAAUCAUGAAGAGGACUCAUAAGAGUGAUGCAGGAGCACAGGUGAGGGAGAAAACUCCAACUCAAGUGAAUGGCAGAGUCACUGACAGCAUAAUACAGAAAAAUCUGUCAGAAGCUCUUCAUAGUGGUGUGACAAACCAAUCACCAAUGAGCUCUGUGUCCUGGGAUACAGCACCAGUCAGCACCAGCUCCGCCCACUAAGCAUCAUAAUGGACUGUCCUCCAAUGGAGACGCAGCAGACUUUGAGGAGAUAAUCAAGCUGUCCAAUCACAGUGGGAACAGUGGAAUCAUGGCCUUCGAGAGGUGCUGUGAGAGAUGAGAUAUCAGAGUCUUCUGGACAUAAUGAGAAGAAGAGAAGCCUUGCUCUACCACUGCUUCCACCCUGACGUGUGCCAAACCAACAAAAACAGACUGCUUUAACUUUAGAAACACUGCCGAGCCGGAUGCGCUCUGGAGAAAGUGCCAGAAGACGACCUUAAAGAGACACUUAUAUACAACGUUUGCAAAAAGUCUCCGUCUAUUUCAGUGUGUGUGUCAUGGUGCAGCAUUUGUUGAGUUUCUUUAACAAGUCACCUGGGGCCUCAUGUAUCAAUGCUGCGUACGCACAAAAACUUUGCGUACGCCAGAUUUCACGCUCAG